UUGAAUUGCAUGCUUUUCAUUGAGUGGUUUGAUUUGUCUAAGAUUCUGAUUUUUUUUCUUUUGGAUUUAUUUUAUAUCACGAUAGGACCAGAAGGCGCAUGAGUCGAUCUUGAAAGCAUUAAACCUGCCGGGUAUUGCUGCAGAACCCAAUUUGAAGGAGUGGACUGUUUGGACAAAGAUUUAUGACAAAUGUCAUGAAACUGUUAAAAUUGCUAUGGUGGGAAAAUACACUGGCCUUUCAGAUGCAUAUCUUUCUGUUCUGAAGGUAAUUUUCUCCUAAACUAGUGGUCCAUCAUAAUAUAAUUUGCAUUCACUUUAUGCAUUCUUCUGCAACUUUCAUCUCUUGUAUGAAAUUUAUUAAAAAGUGGUGCAUUGAACUUUCUGGUCCACAACAUUAUAAAACUGAAUUCCAAUAUACCAUAAGCUAUUUACGUUUCUGCAUUUAUCUUCGUUUCUACAUCUCUUGUUUGAUCAUUUAUCUUCGUUUUCUGCAUUUACGUUUCCUCAUCUUUGUUCAUUUAUCUUGGUUAACUGAAUAAGGCCAUUAUUAUAGUUUUUGUGCAACAUUGUUUUUGCUUUUGUUCUUAAUUCAAUUGUUAUGUUCUCAGGAUCCUAUCAAUAAUGAUGUUUUGGCGGUCCAAACUAUGCGCAACCAUAUUAUGUCAUGUCAGCUUUUUGAAUCGUGGUAGUCACUCUUGGUCACUCGGAUUGCUAAGAUGUAGAUAGUUAAAGUCCACAACGUUUUCAUCGCCACCGCUUCGGAUCAGCACCUCUGCAAUUUCUGGCCCCAUAUUCUGGGUGUGCCAUGGAGGAUUAUUUCCGCGAAAAUGGAAUGCACACAUUAAUAAUCUAUGAUGAUCUUAGUAAACAGGCCGUGGCAUAUCGACAAAUGUCUUUAUUGUUACGCUAACCACCUGGCCGUGAGGCAUUCCCAGACGAUGUUUUCUAUUUACAUUCCCGUCUCUUAGAAAAAGCUGAAAAAACGGUCGGACCAAACAGACGCAGGUAAAAUCACAAGAAAAACAACUAUAACAAAAAUAUUCUGACUUUUUCAUGGAGUGGGCUUCAUCUGAUAGAGAUUCUCCAAACGACUCUCCCAUCUUCGAAUCAUCAUUAAAAAUGAUGAUUCCCGAUUCAAAACCCCACUAAUAGAGGGAAAGGAAUGCGAUUCAGACUGUAUUCUAAUUUUCGAAGACGAAGAAACACUACUCUUCGAGUCACUCUCGACCAUAAUAGGGUUACUACUCAUUGUAAUGAAAACGCGGUAGAUAUUGAAAUAAAAGCUAAGGAGAAGAGAAGGUACCUUGAAUUAUGAAAGCGAAAGCGCUGAAACAAAAAGGGAGCUGAAAAUUCGAAGCUUUAAAUGUUUUAAAUUAUUAACGUGCAACGACGAUUAUUUUGAAAAGCAAGUACUCUUAGGUAGGAGGGGAAAAACUUAAAGAGACAAGGGAAACUUAGUCUACGAGAGGGCUGAAAAGUUUCUCGACAAUCUCUCUCCAUCUUUAUAUAAGCAAAGACAAUCGAACAGAUCAGAUUGAAAGCAAGAAAUACGGGCAAAUCGACGGUCAAAUUUCAUAUGGGGAAGACAAUCACACUAAGUACACAAAAAGUUGCGUCAUUUCAUCUCAUACCUUCUCAAGUCACACGUCAAAGACAAACGGCGAAACAUUUCAAUGAUUGGAUUGAAUUUAAUGCACGCGUCUGCAUCACGCUUUGGCAAAACCAAAGUGAUGCAUGCCAGCCGACGCCUGGAUGACCUUCCUUUGAGAUCGGCCACUACUAUUGAAAGACUCCCCAGACAUCAAACGUGCCCGACGAGUCUUGGGGACAACUAUUUCGUGCCAGUCAAAGACUCGGGACCCGCUUCUCCACGCCGGCUAAGGUGUAUUAUCUAGCCUACUCCGCCAGGCCCAAGGUAUAAACACCUUCGUACAAGUUUCUCAAGUAUACAAUCUCUAGUUUUCACUUUCACUACCAACUAUCUUGAACCCUAAACUGAUUUGGGCAUUGAAGUGCUAACCAUGUAGGUAUCCCUCCUUAGGUCCACCUCAUCGGAGGUAGCAAACACCGGUUAACAACAUCGCUCCAAGCUUGAUAUCUCUGGAUCAAGAAACACCGUGAUCGCAAUCUUCAAUUCACGGUUUCACAUCAACAUAGUGCAUUGGAAGCUCCGCUCCAGAACAAUUUCCGCAAUCAUCACCAUUUUUAGUUCCACAACAGAACAAAUUGUAAUUUGAACAACAAGAAAUGGAGCUAAUUAACUAACCAGCUGAAAUGAACAUGUAGCUAACUUUUAACUAUCUUUUCUCUAACCGUUUCAUCAUUGUUUGAUAAAGAUUACAAUUAUUUUAAUCGUAUAUGA